GAAUGACUAUUAUUAGGGAAAGUGGACCCAAGAAGGUCAAGUUCCUUGCCUGAGGUCACACAGCUAGUAAAAGGCAGAGCAAAGGUUGAAACUCAGGAUGGUCUGUCUCCAGGUCCGGGGCUCUUCACCACUCAGCCCUGCCUAUUCCAGGGCUGGCAGCCUCUCUACGGAGGUGAAGCGUCUACUGGAUCACUUUUGACCAACAACACAUCAGCUGGUAGAGGGAGGAGGGGUGGGCCAAGAAGGGCCCCUUCCCCCUCAGGCCGGAGAGAUUCCUCUGACUAAUUUGCUGGGUGACUUCGAUGGCAAACUGCAGCCCUGUUCCCUCCAGCUGAGACUCCUCAGUCUUGCUCAUGACUGGGUCCCCUGGGCAGAGACAGGGCCUGGCAGAGAGCAGAUGUCCAGUAAAUACCUCUUGGCCAUAAGAAUGACUGGGAACACUCAUGCAGUGAGAACACCUUCCUGUGUGUUAUCUCAUCUCAUCCUCACAGCAGCCCAGAGAGAGUUCGAUAUGGAAGAAACUCUGUCGUUGUUCCGGUACCUGGGCUGGACCCUGAUGGGAAGACAGACAAGGCAGGGCAGAUAUCCAUCAGGCACUCUCUCUGACUGCCCAGCCCACUGCUUUGAGCCUGAUCGAAGAACCUGGACGGAAGAUCUGGAAUACUUCUCUCUGCCGGCUCACGCUCUUGACACCAGUGCUCAUCUGAAGUCACAUCUGGGAAGCCUGGUUCACGUGAUUCUCCUGCCUCAGCCUCCGGAGUAGCUGGGAUUACAGGCGCCCACCACCACGCCUGGCUAAUUUACUGGAUCCAGAAAUGUCAAGACACUACCCCAGGAUUCAACAGCACAUGAGGGACAAAGCCAGGACCCCACCCUUAUUCUUUCAAGGCUGGCCUGUGCCCUGGAGCUCUUCCACACACCUCCCCCUCCAAAACAGGGAGAAGCCCAAGACAGUGACUCAGAGCCCCCUUGGCAGUUUUGCUGAUAAUUUUUUUGUUUUGAAGGGAGAUGUUCUGCCUCUAUUAAAGUCUUUAGGAAAUUAUAGUGAUUUUGACUUUUUCAGACAUGUUUGAAUUACUCACAGUCUGGAAUUCCCAGGCAGGGGGUGAGAUUUAGAGAGGCCUUAGAAUACAGAAGUUAGGGGCACAGGAUUUGGGAUUAGAGGGAUCUGAGUUCAGAUCCCCACUCUACCACUUAGUAACUAUGUGAGUUAAUCACAAUGAGCCUUGGUUCCUCAUCUGGUUUUGAUAACAAACACCAGGACUUAGUUCAAGGGCUGCUGGCGGACUGAAUGAAGCAACGAGCGGAGAGUGGCGCAAAGGAGACCUGAGUACACGGGCACUGGGGUUAUUCCCUGGACACCUACUGAAGCAGGAAGGCCAGGAUCUGACUUACCAAGCACACGCCCAGCCUGCAUGAAGGCUCGAGUGCGGCCUGCA